GUUCUAUACAAAAGGAAAUUUCCUCUUUUGUGUACAUCCUAAAGACCACCCCCUUGUGAUGAACGCUUUAUCCUUCGAGUCAAAUGGCACAGCUCCUGUUCUUUGUGGCAAAAUAAUACCCAUCAAUGUCCAAAGCAAAAAGAUUAUGUAAUGCAUCGCGACUGAUUGAUUGUUUCAUCUCUGCAACUACAAAUCGUGUCUUCAAAAGGUUGCAGAAGCUCUAAACUUCUCCGGAAUAGCUGCAACAGAAAAGAAUAAGCUAUACCAUACUCAAGUUGACCACUGCAACAAAGAUCGUUAUAAAAUAGAAACUUCAAAGGCCAUAUCAGGUAAUGUGUUGAUAGGAUUUAGAAAACAUUUGUUGGAAAACGAAUAUAUUUCUCAACACCAAACAAACUUAGAAAAACAUUUCAACACUAAAAUAAAACUGCAUCAAGCACAAUGGUUCCACUAUACUAUGUCGAUGCCUAAUUGCUAAUUUACAUUUAAGAUUGAUGGAACAAACAACAUAUAAAGAAUCACGUUUGAAUUAUAUCAAAAGCUUGUAGCUUGGAAAGCGAAAACAAGACAAGACACAUGAGACUUGUAGGACAUAUAUUUCUCAAAGAACACAACCGAACCUUAGUGUGCAAAGAUCAUAGUGCUCGACCACCAAACCUUGAACUGGUUAAAGUACAAACAAAAUUAAUCCUGUCGUAGAAUAAAACCAUUAUGACCUACUAAAUCCAACCUGACAAAAUAAUCCACAGAACAUUUGAUGUGUUGUUAAUUGCUAGUUGUUAUUUUUUUUUCGGAAAAAAACCAUGGCACAACAUAUCUUGUAUUGCCGUUUACAGAACAAAGGAAAUUCAAGCAAUAUUUUAACAUCAAAUUUAUCUUCCAUCCUAAUGAUAGCCUCAUACAGCGCCACAUCUUUAAGCUUGUGCUUUUGAAAAAUACCAUACAAAUAUGUUAGAUGGGUGCAAACGCUUCUAUUCUCGUUAUUAAUUUGUUGCAAUGCAAAUUUGUAAGAUAUACAUACAAUUCCAGCUAGAAAUACACUGACAAAUUGCCAUUGGAAUCAUCAUAGGAAAUUAAGAACAGGUUGCACCUUUUUCUUGAAAGAAAAUAAAGAAAGAAAGAACAUACCGGAAUUUUAAUAUGAUUAGAAAAAAGGUGGAGAACCAUAACCCUUCUUCAGGGAGAGACAACAGCGGACGGCUUGGUGCCUGCUGAGGAACGUAUGACAUUAUGUGAUUAAACUCUUGGCAGAUGAGCAUGCAUGAAGAACAUCAAUACAAAAAGUGAUAUAAAGUAUUAAGAAGUUUUAGGUUCAUUUAUGUUAUUUGAAGCCAAAAUGUCCUAGCCAAAGAGAGUUGUAGAACAAACAUUCCAGGUUUCUUUUGGAAGCCACAAGAACAAACUGCCUCGGUUUGUACAUGAAAACAUAUGAAACAUUAAAAAGCAGAGAAGCAAGAUCUGUAGUGUUCCCAUCAACCAUUGAAAGAUUUAAUUAGGAAUGAAUUAGUUGUGCACACAGUAAAGAGUCAAAGCUUAAAAACAAUCAAAACAUAUUUUAGUCAAAUCAGCAGCAAUCUGAAAUUACAACUACCAUGAUAUUUUUAGAAACCAAUCUUGCAAGCGAAGCAGGAUAAUUGCCACAAUCCUCUAGGAAUUCAUGGCCCCACCUAGCUAGUAUCAACAAACGCCAAAAGUUGGUGAUCCCAUGAAUGUAUUAAGUGAUUGUCUUAAAAGUUUGUACCAGACCUCACACAAUAUCCCUGCAAAAAUUGGACAAACUGAAACUACUAAUACUUUGAACUUGCACAAAACUGAAAGGUACCAUUUUUAUUCAAGCUACAUUUACAGGCUGCUUUUUAGUUACAGAAAGUUGGGAGACACAUAAUCAAAGCAAGCCCGCAGAUAGUGAUAGAUGAGGCAGAACAACUACUACGAUCCAGUCUCAACAUAUCAAUUAAGAUGGAUGGGUUGUACAGUGGUUGCAAUACAUUUGAAAAUAUCAGCAGCGAGAUGUUUAGCUCAACCGUUCUAAUAUGCAAUUGCAGAGAGCAAAAUAAGUUAAUUUUACAUGAGCAUCAAGGAGUAUAACUGGUUCAUGAGAUAUUCCGAAGUCGACAUCUGCAGUACAAUGCUUUGCUGCUUUGGUUUCCUCAGUUUGUGUAGCAAGCAGAGGAUGCAUCCCUACAGAGAAUAAUCACCUAAUUAAAUUUUGUGCAGUUAAUUUGGAACAUACCGAUGCAAAGAGCAAAAUUAGUUAAUUUUACCUGAGCGUCAUAGAUUCUAACUCAUCCUUGAGAUAUCCUGAAGUCAACACAUGCAGUCAAUUGCUUUGCCACUUUGAUUUCCUCAGUUUGCAUAGCAAGCGGAUGAUACACUCCUACAGAUAACGGUCACCUAAUUAAAUUGUGUGUGGUUAAUUUGGAACAUACUAAUGCAUAGAGAAAAAUAAGUUAACUUUACAUGGGAGUCAAGGAGUAUAACUCAUCCAUGAAAUAUCCUGAAGUCAACAGCUGUUGUACAAUGAUUUCCCAUCACUUUGAUUUCCUCAGUUUGCAUAGCAAUAGGAGGAUGCAUUCCUACAAAGAACAGUCACCUAACUUAACUUUUGUGUUGCUCAAGUUUGGUACGGAAUGAACUGCUAAGGCUAUCUUUGGUACGAUUCUCAAGUAACCGUAUCGACUCGGAAAAGCUUUUGAAAUUUUAGAUGUGUUGAAGCAUAGAAGCUCGAUAACAAAUUAGAGAUUACAAUGCGGAAGCAUUAGUCAUUAUGUGCAUUAAGACUGACCUUGAUGCCUCCAAACUUCUGCAACAUUAAGAAGACGUCUUUGCCUCUGUUUGAGUAGAAAUAUGGUCCAUUAGUUUGCAGAAAAGGAAAGAUAAUAAACAAGAUACAUUUGAAGCUUGAACAACAGAUUUACACUAUGAAGAAAGCAAAAAAAAAAAUCUUCCUACUAACAUCAUUGGGAAGACAUGAACAUCUACACUACGUUUUGCAUGUCAUUAAAUUAAACAAAGGUAACCAGUUAAAUUCUAAAUCAAUGUAGAAUCUCAGCUUUACACGGUAAAUCUAAACCAUUUGUUCAUCACACAAAAAUUAGGAGCCAGUAGAAAGGAUGGGGACCAAAUAUCAUCUGCAGCAGUAGCUCACAAGAGUCGGAACCUGCGAGCACGGAUCAUGAAUGUCAACGAACAAUAUAGCCUGCAGUUCUUUCCUCCUUAUCAUGUUGGGAGCAAAGCCCAUAAUACCAUAUUACUAUAACUUGUGAAUAAUAAGCUCACAAAAAAGUAUAAUUGUCCAGGGAAACUUGGUUUUCAAUUUUAAAGUUAUAACAGAACAUUUGGUCGCAACAAAUAUGAAUGAUUGGGUUUAAAGCCUGAAAAAGUAGAUUUCGCUCAAUUUCUUAAAGCCAUGGACCUAGUUCAAUUAUACAAUAGACUAAUCAUUGUUUAGGCAGACCAUGAGAAGUCAGAUUCCACUUAUAAAAAUACAUUAAAGAGCCUGCAGUUGAAUGCAGACAAAACUGAAUUUGGCUCUGGCCUACAAAUAGCAAGGAUUAAGUGGAGAGAACAAGGCAGCUGGCCAGGCUGCCGCAUGGAGCUAGGUAGAGAAAGCUGACUUACUAACAUCACUAAAAGAAGGAGCUUACAUAGGUCGAGGUCGGAGGACACGCUACCAUGGUUGCUGAAACACGAACUCCGUCCAGAUCUCCUCAUCCUACUCGAAGCUGCUGGUGGAUCCACCUUUGUUCAUUCUUCACUGGUUUCCAGCGGGUGUAGCUUCAAAAUGUGUGGAACUCACUGCAACACAAAAUGAGGUAAUACAUUUUUUGAAAAAACAUGAAGUUGUUGUAAUUCCCAUAAUGUCUCAACUGAAUUUAACUGAAGAACGAAGGCGACACUACUGGCUCCUCGUAUUAAACAAAUUUAACUGAAGAACAAAGGCAACACUACAGGUUCCUCAUUUCAACUGAAUUUAACUAAUCUCAUAGUAGUAUUUUGGGGUUCGUACCACUGCUGCUCACCGUGUACCAUGGCCCCAUGGGGAAGAUGUGCGUCAGAUGGGGAGGUGGCCGGCAUGCCUGCGGGGAGGUGGACGGCGCACGGCGGCGAGACCGGGCCACAGGUCUGAGCGCAUCCGUCACCACCAGCAAGCAGCCGAGCUUCUCCCAUGUGACCAUGUCACUCCUGGCCUCUCCUGCUCCAGAUCGAGGCCAUGCUCCUGGCGCCCUCAAAAAGAGAGGAAGAGGAGGUGAGGCGGGAAGGAAGAUGGGCAGAAGGGUAGCUCACAAGAGUCGGAACCUGCGAGCGCAGCGGCGACGACGGGGCCGGUGGAUCUGCAAGCGCCAUGGCCACCUGACCCGCUCGCUACCCCUCUUCUCUUCCCUUCCCUCCCUUCCCUUCUGAAAACGGGAGGGGGGAGGUUGCGGGCGGAGGCUGGCCGGAGGAGACGGACGCGAGUGGCGGUGGGCUAGGGUUUCCCACCAAAGGCGGCUGGCGAGGGAGAGAGAUCAAGGAGGGAGGGAGCGGUGCAGGCGAGGGGAUUGGGCGUGGGGCAGGGAGGGAGUGGUGCGGGCGGGGGGAUUGGGCGAGGCCUGCCCCACACUCCCGCAGAUGGCACG
rnacentral:lncRNA from 1 species